AGGUUAAGUUAGAAAGGGCGCACGGCGGAUGCCUUGGCACUAGGAGCCGAUGAAGGACGGCACUAACACCGAUAUGCUUCGGGG
rnacentral:rRNA from 1 species